GAUCAUGGCUCAGGAUGAACGCUAGCGGCAGGCUUAACACAUGCAAGUCGAGGGGCAGCGGGGAGUAGCAAUACUCCGCCGGCGACCGGCGCACGGGUGCGUAACGCGUAUGCAACCUACCUUUAACAGGGGCAUAACACUGAGAAAUUGGUACUAAUUCCCCAUAACAUUCGAGAAGGCAUCUUCUUGGGUUAAGAACUCCGGUGGUUAAAGAUGGGCAUGCGUUGUAUUAGCUAGUUGGUGAGGUAACGG
rnacentral:rRNA from 1 species